rnacentral:lncRNA from 1 species
CUGGAGGUCUGCACCACCUUCCACUGCAGCACUUCAGCAAAGGGCAGAGUCAGAGCCAAAACCACUCGCUUAGACGAUGGGGAAGCCAAGAGGUGCUCUGUUGCCUGUUAUAGCCAGGCCAUAAGACAGACUCAAGUUAACAGAAGACUACACAGGGCCCACACUGGGCAGCCUUGCCAGAGUUGGAAGCAUUUUGGAGCCUCAGUCGGUAACUUGGAGCAUAUCCUCUGGCAGCUCAAAGCAACAUUGGAUCACAACAUUCCACACACAGAAGGCAAUUGUGUGGUAAUGGGAAACUCAAACAGAUAAGGAAUAAGCAAGAAUGUCCCUGAAAACCUUGCCGUGUCAGUCCAACUGCAGGUGGUGGACUAGCGGGAAGGGGCUGGGACACAGUGAAUGAGGAAACUUAGCUGUCUAAGCAAUCAGGCCAUCUACUCCCGAACCUUCAUGCCUACAAGAGGGAUCCAAGCUUCACCUACUUUUGACUCUACAGAUGUAAACAGGAAGGGCCUCCUCCGCCUCUCAGGAAUGCAGAGGUAUCCACGGCCCACAUUCCAACUCAAAGGCAGCAGGGGAAAUGAGCGGACUGCUCAGUAUAAGGCCUAGAUCCUGAGACACGAUGUAGACUAGGUCAGCAGUGUGGACAGUGUUAGCU